rnacentral:tRNA from 1 species
ACCUCGGUAGUUUAAUGGCUUAUGACGCUGAUACGGAAUACAAAAGAUCCGGGUUCAAGUCCUGGCCGAGGUA